rnacentral:rRNA from 1 species
GACGAAGGGGGGCUAGCGUUGUUCGGAAUUACUGGGCGUAAAGCGAGUGUAGGUGGUUGUCGUAGUCAGGUGUGAAAGCCUUGAGCUCAACUCAAGAAAUGCACUUGAUACUGGGCAGCUAGAGGACCGGAGAGGAUAGUGGAAUUCCCAGUGUAGUGGUGAAAUACGUAGAGAUUGGGAAGAACACCAGUGGCGAAGGCGGCUAUCUGGGUUGAUACUGACGCUGAGGUGCGAAAGCGUGGGGAGCAAACAGG